rnacentral:rRNA from 1 species
ACUCCUACGGGAGGCAGCAGUGGGGAAUAUUGCACAAUGGGGGAAACCCUGAUGCAGCCAUGCCGCGUGUGUGAAGAAGGCCUUCGGGUUGUAAAGCACUUUCAGUAGGGAGGAAGGUAGUGUAGUUAACACCUGCACUAUUUGACGUUAGCGACAGAAGAAGCACCGGCUAACUACGUGCCAGCAGCCGCGGUAAUACGUAGGGUGCAAGCGUUGUCCGGAAUUAUUGGGCGUAAAGAGCUCGUAGGCGGUUUGUCGCGUCUGCUGUGAAAACCUGGGGCUUAACCCUGGGCCUGCAGUGGGUACGGGCAGACUAGAGUGCAGUAGGGGAGACUGGAAUUCCUGGUGUAGCGGUGGAAUGCGCAGAUAUCAGGAGGAACACCGAUGGCGAAGGCGGGUCUCUGGGCUGUAACUGACGCUGAGGAGCGAAAGCAUGGGGAGCGAACAGGAUUAGAUACCCUGGUAGGAUA